rnacentral:rRNA from 1 species
AUGAUGCCCAGCUUGCUGGGCGGAUUAGUGGCGAACGGGUGAGUAAUACCUGAGUAACCUGCCCUUGACUCUGGGAUAAGCCUGGGAAACUGGGUCUAAUACUGGAUACUACCUCUUACCGCAUGGUGGGUGGUGGAAAGGGUUUUACUGGUUUUGGAUGGGCUCACGGCCUAUCAGCUUGUUGGUGGGGUAAUGGCUCACCAAGGCGACGACGGGUAGCCGGCCUGAGAGGGUGACCGGCCACACUGGGACUGAGACACGGCCCAGACUCCUACGGGAGGCAGCAGUGGGGAAUAUUGCACAAUGGGCGGAAGCCUGAUGCAGCGACGCCGCGUGAGGGAUGACGGCCUUCGGGUUGUAAACCUCUUUCAGUAGGGAAGAAGCGAGAGUGACGGUACCUGCAGAAGAAGCGCCGGCUAACUACGUGCCAGCAGCCGCGGUAAUACGUAGGGCGCAAGCGUUGUCCGGAAUUAUUGGGCGUAAAGAGCUCGUAGGCGGUUUGUCGCGUCUGCUGUGAAAGCCCGGGGCUCAACCCCGGGUCUGCAGUGGGUACGGGCAGACUAGAGUGCAGUAGGGGAGACUGGAAUUCCUGGUGUAGCGGUGAAAUGCGCAGAUAUCAGGAGGAACACCGAUGGCGAAGGCAGGUCUCUGGGCUGUUACUGACGCUGAGGAGCGAAAGCAUGGGGAGCGAACAGGAUUAGAUA